rnacentral:ncRNA from 1 species
AUCUUCAGGGCAGGGUGAAAUUCCCGACCGGCGGUAAAGUCCGCGAGCGCCUUCGGGCGUUGAGCUGGUGAGACUCCAGCACCGACAGUACAGUCUGGAUGGAAGAAGAU